rnacentral:rRNA from 1 species
AUUGAACGCUGGCGGCAUGCCUAACACAUGCAAGUCGAACGAAUGGCGGACGGGUGAGUAAUGUCUGGGCAACUGCCUGAUGGAGGGGGAUAACUACUGGAAACGGUAGCUAAUACCGCAUACCAUCGGAUGUGCCCAGAUGGGAUUAGCUAGUAGGUGGGGUAACGGCGCACCUAGGCGACGAGCCCUAGCUGGUCUGAGAGGAUGACCAGGCACAAUGGAACCGGUAAAAGGUCCAGAAUCCUAAGGGAGGCAGGAGUGGGGAAUAUUGCACAAAGGGGGGAAGGCUGAUGCAUGCAUGGCGGGGGUGGGAAGAAGGCCUUCGGGUUGUAAAGCACUUUCAGCGGGGAGGCGUUACCCGAAGAAGAAGCACCGGCUAAAUCCGUGCCAGGAGCCGGGGUAAUUC